UAUAUUCCUAUAAAUACCCUCUUUUGUGAGAAUAAAAACAUCUCUUCCUUCACCCAUUUCAUCUUCUUUGUCUCUCCAUCUUCUCUCCAUUUUCCUUUUCAUUCUCUAGUCUUCUAGUUCUGCAUUUUCAAGCAAAGAGGAGAAGAAGAAGAAGCCGUGAGUAAUCCUAGCAACCAUCGUUCCACCUUGUGCCGUGAUAAUGAAGCCUUGCUUUCAAGAUUCAAGAUCAACGUCUCAAGCUCUCCAUCAUCCACUCCAUUCACGGUGUAUUUCAAUCUUUUUCCUUGUAACCUCAUUUGGUUUUCUUUGCUUCGAUUUGUAGAACUAUGAAUUCUAGUUAACAAAUAAUGUUAAGGGCAAAGUUUAAAGCCCGUUUAUAUGUUUUGAAAUAAAGUUGUGAUUUCUAUAUGUUGAUUUAUAUGUUACUUAUGUGAGAUUGAUCAAUUGAUUUUGUUUUAUGGAAAACUUUUAUAUGUUUUUGUUCUUUGGUGCGCAACUUAGAAUGAUUGCAUAUAAUUGGAGCUAGUAAUUAGGUUCAUGCUUUGUGACCCUAAUUCGAAUAAGUAGUAAAGGCUUUGGACAAAAGUCGAAAUCAAUUGGUUUGUGUUAUUGAAUAGACAUGCUUUGUGUACUAGGAUUAAUACAAUUAUUGACUAAACUUUCACUUGCUCUUAAUGAUUUGAAACUUGAGUUUGCAUGGUGCUUUGCUUGAUCAAUUGUGUAAAGGGAAGUAAAAUAAGGGACAUUGGUUGCUUUGAUCUUUGUUUCUUGGUUGAUAUAUUCUCGUCUCAUAGAUAACCAACUAUUAGAAUUGUAACCGGAUUUCUUGCAUAUGGAUGUAGUUUUGAUCUUUGUUCCUUACGUUCCACCCUUGUAAAUGUGUUUUUACAUUCUCUUUAUUUUAUUUAGUUUAAUUUUCGAAACCAUAAUUCUUAAACCCCCCUUUUGUUUAGUUAUU
rnacentral:lncRNA from 1 species